rnacentral:rRNA from 1 species
CCUACGGGGCGCAGCAGUGGGGGAUAUUGCACAAUGGGGGAAACCCUGAUGCAGCGACGCCGCGUGUGGGAAGACGGUCUUCUGGAUUGUAAACCACUGUCCCCAGGGACGAAAAUGACGGUACCUGGGGAGGAAGCUCCGGCUAACUACGUGCCAGCAGCCGCGGUAAUACGUAGGGAGCAAGCGUUGUCCGGAAUUACUGGGUGUAAAGGGAGCGUAGGCGGGGAUGCAAGUUGGGUGUCAAAACUACCGGCUCAACCGAUAGUCGCACUCAAAACUGCAACUCUUGAGUGAAGUAGAGGCAGGCGGAAUUCCUAGUGUAGCGGUGAAAUGCGUAGAUAUUAGGAGGAACACCAGUGGCGAAGGCGGCCUGCUGGGCUUUUACUGACGCUGAGGCUCGAAAGUGUGGGGAGCAAACAGGAUUAGAUACCCGGGUAGUC